CUGCUGGACCGUUUUUUCCCGUUGCCCGGGGCGGAGGACCUGUUGCCGCCGCCUGAGGGGGCAGCGCGGCGGGGAGAUGGGGAGCCCGCGUUCCCGCUUCUCGCCCGGAAACGCAGCGCUGCCUCCAGGCGGACAGCCGUCGGUACGGUGAGCCCCGAGCUGGGCUUGCAGCGCAGCGAGUCUGUCUGACGGCCGUCGUGUGCUGUUAGCGACUGUCAGUGCCCCGGCAGAAGGGAUACUUGUCAGUGUGAAGACACGCGCAAGAUUAGUUUGAAACCUUGCCUCAUCGGCCCCCCCUCUUUUUUUUUUUUUUUUUUUCCAAAAUAAUAAUUAUAAAUAUUAGGACGCUUGAGGGAGGAUGGAUUACAAAUGAGCCCUUCCAUAGAUGGUGAUGCUGAAGCACGAAGAGACCGAGCGCUGUGGCCAAGGGAGGGAGCGCUGCCCACAGCUCCACAGAAUCACAGAAUGGCCCGGGUGGAAGGGACCUCAAGGAUCAUGAAUCUCCAACCCCCUGCCACAGGCAGGGCCACCAACCUCCCCUUUAAUACUAGACCAGGCUGCUCAGGGCCCCAUCCAAUCUGGCCUUGAACACCUCCAGGGACGGGGCAUCCACAACCUCCCUGGGCAGCCUUUUCCAGCACCUCACCACUUUCUCUGUAAAGAACUUCCCCCUCACAUCCAACCUAAAUCUCCCCUUCUUUAACUUAAAACCAUUUUCCCUUGUCCUGCAGUUACCUACCCUUUCAAAGAGUUGAUUCCCCUCCUGUUUUAGGUUCCCUUUAGGUACUGAAAGGCUGCAAUGAGGUCACCCCGCAGCCUUCUUUUCUCCAGGCUGUACAAGCCCAGCUCCCUCAGCCAGUCUUCGUAGGGGAGGUGCUCCAGUCCUCUGAUCAUCCCAAAAUGGCUUUGAACAUCUCCAGGGAUGGGGCAUGCAAGGCUGCACCUGGCCUUAGCUUUCACAGUUUAUCAUCCCAUACACACUUCUUCUUUUGUGAUUUAUGUGUAUUUUUUCCCCACAUCAAACUGCUCUGUUUGAUGCUCACUGUUUGACUUGCUUUGGAAUUAAAUAAUGAAGGUACCAUAUGAUAGAACAGUUGAAAGAAGGAAAAAAUACAUCCGUACCAACAGCUUAUGUUAUAAAAAUGGUAAUUACCAGAACGUCUGGUAUUAAAUGAAACAGCUUCUUCAACUGAAAACAGGCAAGCGGCUUUUACAGUGCAUAUACACACUAAUGUUUGUAGUCACUCGUGUUGUUUAUGAUUACCAUAAAAAGUAAUGAAUAUUAAAAAUAUAUUUUUUUUAUGAUGAUGAACAGAAAUUAACCAGUACUUUACUGAGGAUUCAUAUUAAGGAUUUGCAUAUGUUUUGCAUCUCUUGCGGGGAUAUGGAAAGUACCACACCAGGUAGACAGUGGACUUUCUAAUUUCCUUAUAGAAAUUCAUUAACUUACUAACUUCCACCACUUCCUGCAAGAUAGCUGUGUUCAGUUGCACUCAUAUUACAAAUGAGGAAGUGAAAUACCAAGAAAGGAAGUGGUUUAACUGUAUUAUGCAGGAAUUCUGCUUGUGAAACUGAAUCCUAGCAUCUUUAGUCACCACAGUAAGCAGUCAUCCACAGGGACCUUGAAGGCUGUAGAGGGAUGACAGAGAUCUCAUGGAGUUCAACAAGUCGAAGUGCUGAGUCCUGUAUCCAGACAGGAGCAAUUCCUGGAACCACGACAUGCUGGGACCACCCAGCUGGAAAGCAGCUCUGCAAAGAAGGACCUGAGGUUGUGGCAGAGACCCCCCUCUUCUCUGUGCUGCUAAGGUUGCAUCUGGAGAACUACUGGGACUCCGGUACAAGAGAGACCUUGACAUACUGGAAACAGUGCAAUGGAGGGUCACCAAGAUGGUUGGAGAAUGGAGUGAGGAAAGGCUGAGAGGGCUGAAGCUCUUCAGCCUGGAGGAGACUCAGGGAUCUCAUCAAUGUAACUAAAUACCUGAAGGGAGGAUGCCAAGAGCAUGGAGCCAGGCUCCUUUCAGGGGUGCCAAGUGCCAGAACAAGCAGCAGUGGGCACAGACUGCAAUACAGUUUAGUUCAGAGUUCCCUCUGAAGAGCACGCAGCAUUUCUGUGCUGUGUGGGUGCUGGAGCACUGGCACAGGCUGCCCAGAGGCUGUAGAUUCUCCUCCUUGGAGGCCUCCUAAAGCUGCCUGGCUGUAGGCCCGGGCCCCAUGCUCUGGUGGCCCUGAUGAUGAGGGGAUGGGCCGAAGGGACACAGAGGGCCCUGCCAGCCUCAGCCUUCCAGUGAGUCUACAGGCUUAAGUUUUGCAACUAGAAUUUUUGUUGUGACGUUAACCUUUUGUAUUUCCUUACUGGUUAUCUACACCAAAUAUUCUAAAGUUUCACAGAAAUCACUGGUUCUGGUAUUAUGCUGCAUGUUAUAAGAUAAAAUUCUUUAAGUAGUAUAAAUAUUAUGCUUACUGUAUUACUUACACAACAAAAUAUAUUCCUAAUUUCUUAUGUUUCAGAAGAGUUCAACCACUAAGUUUAGUUGCCCACAUAUAUGUGUGUUUUGAAAAAAAAAUUGUUAUUUGCAAGCCUAUUUGCAUUAAUUUUGUCCUCUUUCUAUUCCUGGUCUUUCAAGGGAAGUGAGAAGCUUUCUGUCUCUGUCAGUUCAAGGAGGUGGGCCUUCUGCUUACUCAGGAGUUUAACAGAACAGCAUUUCCCCCAAGGAAGUAACAGAAAAGAUGCAGUUUUAUUUUAGCUGGUUUUACUUUUAUGUUCUCUUUUGCCUCAAGGUUGUGAAAUGAAAUAAAAUAAAAUAGUCCGUAAAUGAGGACUUCUUGAAUAUUCAGUAGAGUCUAAUAAGUAUACAUUUAGAUACCAAAUACAUUAUUUUAAAGUGUUCUGUGAAAAUGUAUCUCCUGAGCUCUGGUAAGGCUGCAUCUUGAGUACUGUGUUCAGUUUUGGGCCCCUCUCUACAAGAAAGACAUUGGGGCCCUGGAACAUGUUCAGAGAAGGGCAGUGAAGUUGUGCGGGGUCUGGAGCACAGAUCUUAUGGGGAGCAGCAGAGGGAGCUGGGAUUCUUCAGCCUAGAGAAGAGGAGGAUCAGGGAAGACCUCAUUGUUCUCUACAAUUACCUGAAAGGAGGUUAUAGGAAAGUGGAAAUCAGCUUCUUCUCCUGGGUAACAGUGAUAGGACGAGAGGGAAUGGCCUCAAGUUGCAUCAGGGUUCAGGUUUGAUAUUACAAAAAGCUUCUUAUCUGGGAAAGCAGCCAGGCAAUGGAACAGGAUGCCCAGGGAGGUGGUUGAGUCACUGUCCCUGGACUUGUACAAGAAACAUUUAGGUGUGGUACUAAGAAACAUGGUUUAGUGGGCAACAUUUGUGGUGGAUGGUUGGGCUAGAUAAUCUUAGAGGUCUUUUCCAACCUUAAUGAUUCCAUGAUUUACACAACUCUGUAAUGUACUCUGCGUUUUCUAUGUGCCAUUCUUGUACAAAUUAAUUACAUUUGCUGAUUUUUCUUUGCAGGAAGGUUGAAGAUGGAGGACUUUAUGAUAACUCACACAGAAUGGUCUUGGGUAUUUUUGUAAAAAAAAACAAAAAACCACCACCACUCCAACUUUGGAAUUUAAUAGAAUACAUUCUUUGUUCAAAUCCCUCCUUCUUUCUUAUGGAGAGCUUGCACUGGUUAACAUUUAGAGUUUUAUUUAGUUGCCAUACAUACUUGUCUAGUGCCAUUUGAGACGCCCAAGAGUAUUCUUGCCUGUUGCCAACUGCUGCAGGAAAAUGGUACAAGCUUAUAUAGGUUCCCUGCCACUGUACAGAGCUAACGUAUCUCUGAAUAACAGCCUUGUUAGGUUGCAUUAAGAAUCUACAUUCUGACAAAUAGGCCCUUCUUGAAUAUCAUUUACAUUGAUGAGCCUGGUCACACAGGGACUUCUUCACAUUUUAUCUGGAACUGAUUCCCUUAAAACAACCUGUAUUUGUAGGAGUUUGUCGUGCAAAUUCAUGCUGUCCAAGUACAAAAGGACAAACUAAUUCUGACAUUAUUCAUCAUUCAUUUUAUUUUGGAAAUCUGUGAACUGCGGUGAAAAUGUAGCAUCUCUUUAGAUGCCAUGUAUUUAUUUUAGCAACGGUGAGAAACUUUCUAUAAUUUCCUUAGUGUAAAUAGAAUCUGACUCAUCAUCUUCAGAGACGAGUUCAAAGUUUAGGUUUACUUCCUGGGUUUUUUUACACUUAAGACCAUGACUGAGCACUGCACCACUUGACUUACUUUGUUCAUUCUUUUGUGGAUUUUUUUCUAUCUUCACCUUUCUUCCAUAAGACCAACUGUUCUGUUGUGUUUGCUCCUAAAACAGUGUGGCAAAUCAACAUUACUCUUUCUGGUGGAAGUUACUGGGAGAAGCAGCUGAAUUCUUUUUGUAAAAAGUUAAUUUAAUAAACAUAGAAGCAUUAAAGCCCAAGUGCUAAAAUUAAAUUUGCAUAGUAUGUGAGGCCUCUCAGAGCACAAAGACCAGAAAAUUAAUAGCAGCAGUAGCUGCUUACAUGGAAAGAAAGCCAUGAGUGGAAAAAGAGCAAACUGAAAGUUCUUUGUCCUCCUUUCCAGCCCUCAGUUCUCAGAAUUUUGUUUGGCAAGGAAAGCAGGGAAUCUGUCUGACUUUCAAAUAAUUACUGACGUAUUACUCCAUUGCAGGCAAGUAGCAAAGAGCAGCUGCUUAUUGCAGCCGGAGCCAAACUCUCCCUUUGCCAUCCCCCAUUUCUUCCUGCCUUCCCUGGAGAAAACUAUCUCGCUGUUAAGUAAACUAGGAUUGGUUUGCAAGAUAUAUUAAGAUUACAUUAGAAAAAUAUUUACUUACAUAUGAAGGAGCCUUUUAAAAAAUCUUCAUUGCUUAGGAAACAAUGUGAUUUAGUGGGUAAAAAAUAAAAACAGAUUUGUUACCCUGCAGUUGUAAAGCUGCCGUCUUUUACGAGCCUGGGAAGAGUGACCUUAUUCAUUGUGAGUUUUUGCCAGUUCUGCCUCCACGCAACUAAUUCUUCUCCUGAUUCAUGGUGGGACUUAUCUGGGCCAUGUUUAAAGAGGUCUGCUGCCUGACAGUAAAGGAGUUGAUUAUGAUUUUUGGCUUAUUGACAACCUGUCCUUCACUUUUCAACAUUCCUUACAAGGUUUAACUGAAAAUCAAGAUUUCUUGAGAGAGAAAAUACCUGUUAAAAACAAACAACCAAACAAAAAAUCCAACAAGAACCACAACAACAACCUGUAAGAAAUGGAUAUCAAACCAUUUCAAUUUGUACUGAGCCUAAAGCACUGCAAUAAAAAGGUCCUUCAGCGUUCUUGUCUUCCAAUAAAUAAAUAAAUAAAUAAAUAAAUAAUCUGCAACGUUACCUGAACACUGAAAGUUCAUUUCUCCAGUUAUGGUCCACACUGAAGAUGAAUAUAAAACUGAAUUCCCAAGCACUUUUAUUCAUUAACAAACUUCCAUCAGAAAAAAAAAAGAAGUGUGUGUAUGUGUGUGUGUGUGUGUGUAGGAGUGUUGCUCAAGUUUCUCUUUAUGCAAUUCACAUGAUGACUCCCUGAAUUCCUCCUGAUACUUCAUUAGAGAUGCUGUCUUCCUCCCUUGUUAAGCACUAGUGAGUAGUUGCUGUGUUCCGCCCUGCUGUGCAGCGGUGGAGGAAGCAACCUGUCCGUGUUACUCUGUGCUCUGUGCUACGUUGAGAUGUAAGGAAUGCUAAUGACUGUGUGAAAAUUUCAUCUCUCGCAUCCAGAAGGAUACUGCAGGGUGCUGCAUAUUGCAGCUCUUGGAAUUCAUGGCUGCAGCUGUGGAGUGUAUGCAACUGAGCAUGAUAAAUCACACCAAACAAAUCUUUCUACAUUAAGAAUAUCUUUACAGUUACUGUGUACUAUUCUGUUUUGCACUUGGGUGGAAGCUUGAAGAAAUAUAUUAGGUAAUAUUUAUUUAAGUGUUAAAUGAAAUAACAAAUAAAUCCAUGACAUGACUGCAUUUACACGGAUCUGGAAUUGAUAAAUCAUCUGAUUUUCCAAUUCCAUAAUCUGGAAAUCUUUCCACGGGGAAAGAAAAACACGUAUUGAAGUGAAAAAUGUCAUAUCCUCUUACAAAGAGAACAAACAAAAGUCUUGAGAAAGAUGAAGAGUAUGACACGUCUAUUUCUAAGCCUGGCAAGUAUUCUUGAAACCCUCAACCUGAGAUUAGCUGCUAUGUUUGAGGGUUUAAGUCUACUCAUUUCAGAAAGAACGUGCUUCUGUCCUAACUGUGGUUUAAUCAAGCAAUCAUAGCUCCAUCUUUUUGUUAAAGAAGAUGGUGUCUGGUGUUUUUCUUCAUGAAACAGAGUAAAAAGACAGGCAGUUUACAUUACGAGGUUUCUCUAGCUAGCAUAGUAUGAAAGGAGCCAUCUUGUGGUUGUCUAUUCUGCAAACAAAAUGUUGCUACAGUAUUGCCUUGAAAAGCUGAAGUUACCUCUAUAGUUCUAUGCUAUAUAUACAGAACUACCUCUAUAGUUCCGUGACAAUUUUUCUUCUACCUGUUUAGAAAUGUUGCAUUUUGAGUAAAACUGUUUUCACUCAAUCUUUUUCAUUCCAUCAGAUUUCUUAUUCUACCAGGCGUUCAAUCUAGCCAAACAGAAUUAAACUUUGUAUGUUCAUUCUACGUCCUCUAUUAGUCAACCCACACCAAUAUUUACCAGUCCUCUGAGUUCUUACACCCUUUAAUUUGAACUCUAAGUUCUGCUUUAAACUGCAGUCAAUCGUAUCUCUGAAAUACGACUCUCUUAGUAGAACUGAUUCCUAAGUAAGUGACAAAUUAUUAUUUUUUUAAUAAUAUCCAUUAAGAUGUAAUCUUUGGGAACUAUGUGUAUUCCAGAUGCAAAACUGAAACAAACCAACCUUCAGAUUUGACCUGGGGAGACAACAUUUGAUAAUCAGUCUGAUAAAUGAUAAAUCAGUCUGAUUUCUUGGCCUUUUUGAUAAUACACAAUGACACUUGGAUUAAUCUUCACAAUCCUGAGCAGAUAUAGCACCCAAACCUGCCCCCAGUGCUGGAGGCGAGGCCACCCACCGCAGAGCACAGUGAGACAACGCCUCCCCUCGCCCAGUGGCAGUGCUGGGCCUGCUGCCUGCCAGGGCACUGUGGACCCUUUGCCUGCCAGGGCACACUGCUGGCUCACAUUCAACUUGCCACAGCCCCCAUAUCACUUUGCAUGGGGCUGCUCUCCAUCUUCUUGUCUUUAGUCCGUGCUUAGAUCCGAUGUUGCCUCAUCCCAGAUGCAGAAUCCAGCUCUUGCUCUUGUGGAAUUUCAUGCAGUUGGUGAUUGCCCAGCUCUCCAAUGUACCAAGAUCUCUCUGCAGAGCUUCUCUGCCCUCAAGGGAGUCAACAGCUCCUUCUCGAUGCCAUCUGCAAGCUUAUUUAGUAUACCUUCAAGAAACAUAUCCAAGUAAUUAAUAGAAACAUUGAAUAGAAUUGGACUUAAAAUGGAGCCGUGUGAAGCCCACCGCUGACAGACGUAGCCCAACCCAUCAGCCAACUAUUCACCUGUCAUGAUAUGUUUUUGCCUAGCUGUAUGCUGGACAUGUUGUCCAUCAGGAUACUGUGAGAAACAGUAUUGAAAGCUUUGCUGUCAUCCAAAAAUAUUGCACAGAAUGUCAUCCUUUCGUUGAUUGGAUCUCCUUUAGUAAAGUGAGCCUCUGUGUAUUUCUGAAGACAACCACGGCAGUGAUCAAGGUUCACAGACUGACCUCUGUCUCUGCGUAUUUGAGUGGGACUUGAAAAUUCAUUUUUUAUGCAUUUCUAUGAUAAUAUGGAUUUACUUCAGUAAAACUGAAGUCAGACUUAAGUACCAGGCUGAUGUAAUUAUACAGUUUCUUUGAUAUUAAGAAGGAUGAAAGUCAAGAACUUUUACAAUUAUGGUAUAUUGUGGAGGAGAAUAAAUACUCAUUCCAAGAAUCAUGGAAUAUAAUGAAUUUAAAACAGGAUCAAUUGUGAAAACAGACCUCUGAGAGACUUAUGUGUCCUCAUUUAACAACAGAACUGAAUUUAGUUUAUUAGAAUUAUUUGGAUUCAACUUCCAGAAAUUUCUUGUUGGGGAAUUUUGUAGUCAGAUAUAUUUUUAGUUUGAGUUUUUCUACAGAGGUCAGUAUUUCCACAUCAAUAAACAAGAAGUAGGGUAAGAUUUUCCCUGGGUAUAAAAAAAUCACUUCUGUCUACUGCUAAGGAGGCUUACAGCAGAUCAAUCAUAAUGGUACCUUCAUAAAUUUUAUGCAUGCUUUCUCUUCUGCUAGUUGGGAUUUCGUUGAUUCUACAACCAGAAAUUGUCUUAUUCAAAUGGCAAGGAAAGAACUAGAAGGAUCUGAAGGAGAAUAUUGCAAUACCCUCAUCAAUAGUAAACUACUGGCCUACUAAAAAUGAAAUGAAAUCCUUUUGGUACCUUCUCCUUUCUCCUAUGAAGAAGGGUUGAGAGAACUGGGCUAGCUUAGCUUGGAGAAGAGAAGGCUCCGGAGAGACCUCAGUGUGGCCUUCCAGUACUUGAAGGGAACAUAUGAACAGGAGGGGGUACGACUGUUUACAUGGGUUGAUACAUGGGUGAGAUAGGACAAGGGGGAAUGAUUUUAAACCGAGACAGAGAAGGUUUAGGUUGGAUAUUAGGAGAAAGUUUUCCACUCAGAGGAUGGUGAUGCACUGCAACAGGUUGCCCAAGGAGGUUGUGGAUGCCCCAUCUGUGGGGCAGGCAUCUUGUGCCUGUUUUCACUUUCUGUCACUUACUUUUCCUUCCUCUUUUUAUAAAACCUUAAUCUGAAGAAGCAUGGCAUUUUUUAUUUAUUUUUUUUAACUUUUUUUGUAGAUGGUAGACAUCAUUUGAAACAGCUGAACACUGCUGGAAGCCUGUUGAACAGCCUCACUUCUUGCAGACGUCAGCUUGUUCUUCACCGGUGUCGUCUCUUCUAUAGUAGCUGAGUUCUAGUUCAGAUCUAAUCGGAGUUGUGUUUUCAUUGACCUCCCCAAAAUAAACAGAACCAAACUGAAAUACUGCUUUGUUCAUUAGAUUGGGAAUUUUAUUAGAUAAACCUUUACCAGUGAUAACUGCUUGUCUGGACUGAAGAAAUGGCUACUUCCCAAUUUCAGCUAUGUUGUCUUUUACUGUGGAAACUUUGCCUUAUGUGCAACUUCAGAACAUUCUUCCUGUAUCUGCUAGGAAUGUUAGAAUAAUUUCUGAAAUCAUACAAUUCUGAGCAGAAAUUACCAAUACUGGCCUUAAAGCCUUUAGCAGUGUAAAACAGGAGGUUUACCUGUAAGAUCCCCAUGUAAUAGUAUUUAUUCUAGCAGAUGUCUCACCUUCCAGCUGUAGUAGCGACGUACUUAACAGUGAAAUUCAGUACCCUCACAUGCUGAUAUUCUUUUCACUGACCAUACUUUCUCUAACAAAUACACUGAUAUUUUAGGGGGAAAAGAAGAUGUGCUGCCAUUCUGAAGAUGUUUGUGAAAUUAGCCUUAGCAGGCUUUCUGGAGCAUCUUACACAGAAGCUUAAAUCACAGCCAUUAUUUAUACCAACAUUAAGUAAUUGUGUAACCCAAAGGAAUGGCAAUUUGUUAUUUUAAGCAAUCAGACAGGGCAUAAGAGACUUUCUGAUACCACAUGAUGGCAUGAUUUAAUGCUGAAAUCUUUAGUCAUACCAUGUUUAAAAAUGAUAGAUAGUGGAUAUUGAGCUCAAUGUCUAAGAUGAAUUAUCUCUUUUGAAACAGUUUUUUUUUCCCCCAUGUGGGAAAUAAUUGUUUGCCUACAACAGUAAGCAGAUGGAUUACCACACUUGCAAAACAGCCUUAACUUUCAAGUUUUGGAGAAGCUGAUGAAAUAUCCAAAUAAUUAAGAUACCAGCUUGCAUUAUAACAUGUCAAGUUUGCUUCAUUUGUUCUUAUAGAUUUUCCUGGAUAAGAUUUAUAUGUGCAGAUUAAAAAAUGCUUCAUGCUACUAUUGAGAGUAGCUUAUUGAGAGUAGCUGAAAUCCUCUUCAAAUAGCAGUUAAGUUUCUUAAAAACUUUAUUGUGUCUGGAACUAGGUCCAUAUCCACUAGGAAAAUAAAGAGGAAGACUGCUGGGUUUCCAUAGUUUUCCAGUGUUUGUAAGGCUAAAUAUUAUUUAUGUGAAUUACUCGACUGCUACAAAAGCUAUGAGUAUGGAAACGUGUAAAGAAAAGCUUACAUGUUUCUGUGAUACUUGAACCACAAAAAAUGUUUGAUAUUAAAACUGUAAUGUACUCUUGAAGUGUAUUACCACUGUAAAAAUGAACAAAAAGUUACAAAAAUGUAUGAAUUGUUGUAUGUUUGGGAAACACUUUGGGUUUUUUUCUCAAUGAAAUGCUAGGGAAAGAAGCCUGUCAGUGCAGGGGAGACCUUUGGCUCAAACAACUCCAAGUAUUAAUGCUGGGAGAAAAAGAAAAGAAAAAAAAAAAGAAAUGGAAGGAAUUCCAGG